rnacentral:rRNA from 1 species
UCGAUUUGAGUUUGAUCAUGGCUCAGGACGAACGCUGGCGGCGUGCCUAACACAUGCAAGUGGAGCGACGAACCAGGCUUCGGCCUGGGGCAAAGCCGCGAACGGGUGAGUAACACGUGGGUAACCUGCCCCGAUGACCGGGACAACCCGAGGAAACUCGAGCUAAUACCGGAUGUGCCCUGCGAUCGCAAGGUCGGUGGGGAAAGGAAGCUUCGGCCUCCGCAUCGGGAUGGGCCCGCGGCCCAUUAGCUUGUUGGUGAGGUAACGGCUCACCAAGGCGACGAUGGGUAGCUGGUCUGAGAGGACGAUCAGCCACACUGGGACUGAGACACGGCCCAGACUCCUACGGGAGGCAGCAGUGGGGAAUCUUGCGCAAUGCGCGAAAGCGUGACGCAGCAACGCCGCGUGGGGGAAGACGGCCUUCGGGUUGUAAACCCCUUUCAGUUGGGACGAAGCUCCGUCGGUGAAUAGCCGAUUGGAGUGACGGUACCUUCAGAAGAAGCCCCGGCUAACUACGUGCCAGCAGCCGCGGUAAUACGUAGGGGGCAAGCGUUGUCCGGAAUCAUUGGGCGUAAAGAGCGUGUAGGCGGCUCGGUAAGUCCGCUGUGAAAGUCCAGGGCUCAACCCUGGAAUGCCGGUGGAAACUGUCGAGCUAGAGUCCGGAAGAGGCGAGUGGAAUUCCUGGUGUAGCGGUGAAAUGCGCAGAUAUCAGGAGGAACACCAAUGGCGAAGGCAGCUCGCUGGGACGGUACUGACGCUGAGACGCGAAAGCGUGGGGAGCAAACAGGAUUAGA